CAAAAGAUCUGCUUCAACCUUCCCCAGUUAAUCUUUUGCCAGAAGAUUCACAAUCUGAAUGUGGCUCAAUAUAAAGAAAUCCUUCAGUCAAGUUUCCAUAAAGGCCCUCUUUCCUGCUUCUGGCUGAGCUCCUACUAAAAAGAAGAUUAAUGUGGAAAUUAAUCUAAUCCAGGAUUAAUAAGUAGAAGACUUCCUUAAACUGGGCAAUUUUCUGUCAAUUUGAUUAUAAUAAAUAUUUUGCAUUUAAGAGUU
rnacentral:sRNA from 1 species